UCACCAGACUCCUACGGGAGGCAGCAGUGGGGGAUAUUGCACAAUGGGGGGAACCCUGAUGCAGCGACGCCGCGUGGGUGAAGGAGCACCUCGGUGCGUAAAGCCCUAUCGGCAGGGAAGAAGCAGACGGUACCUGACUAAGAAGCCCCGGCUAACUACGUGCCAGCAGCCGCGGUAAUACGUAGGGGGCAAGCGUUAUCCGGAUUUACUGGGUGUAAAGGGGGCGCAGACGGCAGCGCAAGCCAGGAGUGAAAGCCCGGGGCCCAACCCCGGGACUGCUCUUGGAACUGCGCGGCUGGAGUGCAGGAGGGGCAGGCGGAAUUCCUGGUGUAGCGGUGAAAUGCGUAGAUAUUAGGAGGAACACCAGUGGCGAAGGCGGCUUGCUGGACAGAGACUGACGUUGAGGCUCGAAAGCGUGGGGAGCAAACAGGAUUAGAUACCCGCGUAUC
rnacentral:rRNA from 1 species